rnacentral:rRNA from 1 species
ACCAAUAGCGUAUAUUAAAGUUGUUGCAGUUAAAAAGCUCGUAGUUGGAUUUCUGUUAAUAAUUUAUAUAUAAUAUUUUAAUAUAUUUAUAUAAUAUUAACAUAAUUCAUAUUACUAUUAAUUAUAGUAUAUGAAAUUUUACUUUGAGAAAAUUAGAGUGCUUAAAGCAGGUAUAUUGCCUUGAAUACUUCAGCAUGGAAUAAUAAUAAAGAUUUUUAUCUUUUUUUUAUUGGUUCUAAGAUAAAAAUAAUGAUUAAUAGGGACAGUUGGGGGCAUUUGUAUUUAA